CUGUCACCUCUGCAGCAGAAUUUGUUGAAGUUUUGUCUCUCUCUCCGUUCCUACUCAGCCUCAAUUCAAGCCUUCCAGCAGAUAGCAGUCGACGAGCCUCCACCAGAAGGAUGCAAGUCAUUUCUCUCAGUGCAUGGAAAGCAGACUUGUGAUCUGGGCACUCUUGAGAGCCUUCUGCUGACUGCACCUGACAGACCUAAACCUUUAUUGUUCAAAGGAGAUCACAGAUAUCCCUCAUCAAAUCCUGAAAGUCCAGUGGUCAUUUUUUAUUCUGAGAUUGGCCAUGAAGAAUUUUCUAAUAUUCACCACCAACUUAUAUCAAAAAGCAAUGAAGGAAAAAUUAAUUAUGUGUUCAGACAUUAUAUAUCUGUAAGUAUUGACUUAUUUUAUAAUUUCUUGAAUAUUAAUUUGUUUAAAGUGACCUUAGAAGAUUCUUUUCCUAUUUAAAAAUAAUUUAAUUUGAAAUUCUUUUUUUUUGAUAAGUUCA
rnacentral:lncRNA from 1 species